rnacentral:rRNA from 1 species
GAUGAACGCUAGCGGCAGGCUUAACACAUGCAAGUCGAGGGGUAACAGUGUUUAGUUUACUAGACAGCUGACGACCGGCGCACGGGUGCGUAACGCGUAUACAAUUUGCCUUUUACUGGAGAAUAGCCCAGAGAAAUUUGGAUUAAUGCUCCAUAGUAUUGUUUAAUCGCAUGGUUUUACAAUUAAAGUUCCGACGGUAAAAGAUGAGUAUGCGUCCUAUUAGCUAGUUGGUGAGGUAACGGCUCACCAAGGCAACGAUAGGUAGGGGUCCUGAGAGGGAGAUCCCCCACACUGGUACUGAGACACGGACCAGACUUCUACGGGAGGCAGCAGUGAGGAAUAUUGGUCAAUGGGCGCAAGCCUGAACCAGCCAUGCCGCGUGCAGGAAGACUGCCCUAUGGGUUGUAAACUGCUUUUUUAUACAGGAAGAAACCUUUCCACGUGUGGAGAGCUGACGGUACUGUAAGAAU